GCAGUGGCUCGUCUUUAGUUGUUCGCACUUCUAUGAUAAAGGAAAUGAUUGAGUGUCACAGGCGACACUGAAUAUUCCGAGGAGGUAUUUUUGCCCAAAAGCAGACAGAAGACGAAAGGCGUGAUUACAUCAACUAAUGGGCCACGUGGGGACACAACUGUGGAUAUUUGUACAAGAUGGAAGAAAAUAAAACUGAGCCAAGGAACCUAGUACAGAUUAUUUCUCAGUGUUGUCUGGUGAAGUUGAAGCACUGUGAACUAUGAGAUGCUUCCAGAAGAUAAAGUGCACGCUGAAAUGUUUGCUCUGGGUUCCGGCUGCACUCUGUGCUCUCUACUUCACAAGUCCAUC